CAGUCGCCGCGGGAAUACAGAGGGUGCGAGCGUUAAUCGGAUUUACUGGGCGUAAAGCGUGCGUAGGCGGCUUCUUAAGUCGGAUGUGAAAUCCCUGAGCUUAACUUAGGAAUUGCAUUCGAUACUGGGAAGCUAGAGUAUGGGAGAGGAUGGUAGAAUUCCAGGUGUAGCGGUGAAAUGCGUAGAGAUCUGGAGGAAUACCGAUGGCGAAGUCAGCCAUCUGGCCUAAUACUGACGCUGAGGUACGAAAGCAUGGGGAGCAAACAGGAUUAGAUACCCCCGUAGUCCCUGUCUCUUAUAC
rnacentral:rRNA from 1 species